AUUAGGUUUGUGCAAAAGUAAUUGUUUUUUGCAUUGAACGUAAUGGCAAAAACUGCAGUUACUUUUGCACCAACCUAAUA
rnacentral:miRNA from 1 species